rnacentral:rRNA from 1 species
CAGAGGGGGAUAACGUUUGGAAACGAACGCUAAUACCGCAUGAUAUUAUUGGGCAGCAUUGCCUGAUAAUCAAAGGAGCAAUCCGCUGAAAGAUGGGCUCGCGUCCGAUUAGGUAGUUGGCGGGGUAACGGCCCACCAAGCCGACGAUCGGUAGCCGGACUGAGAGGUUGAACGGCCACAUUGGGACUGAGACACGGCCCAGACUCCUACGGGAGGCAGCAGUGAGGGAUAUUGGUCAAUGGGAGAAACCCUGAACCAGCAACGCCGCGUGAGGGAAGACGGUUUUCGGAUUGUAAACCUCUGUCCUCUGUGAAGAUGAUGACGGUAGCAGAGGAGGAAGCUCCGGCUAACUACGUGCCAGCAGCCGCGGUAAUACGUAGGGAGCAAGCGUUGUCCGGAUUUACUGGGUGUAAAGGGUGCGUAGGCGGCUUUGCAAGUCAGAAGUGAAAUCUAUGGGCUUAACCCAUAAACUGCUUUUGAAACUGCAGGGCUUGAGUGAAGUAGAGGUAGGCGGAAUUCCCGGUGUAGCGGUGAAAUGCGUAGAGAUCGGGAGGAACACCAGUGGCGAAGGCGGCCUACUGGGCUUUAACUGACGCUGAGGCACGAAAGCGUGGGUAGCAAACAGGAUUAGAUACCCUGGUAGUCCACGCUGUAAACGAUGAAACGAGGUGUGGGUGGACUGACCCCAUCCGUGCCGGAGU